GGGUAUGUUAAUAGCAUACUCAUUUUGACGUUUAGCUGCAGUAAGAAGCACCGGCUAACUCCGUGCCAGCAGCCGCGGUAAUACGGAGGGUGCGAGCGUUAAUCGGAAUUACUGGGCGUUAAAGCGCAUGCAGGUGGUUUGUUAAGUCAGAUGUGAAAGCCCGGGGCUCAACCUCGGAAUUGCAUUUGAAACUGGCAAACUAGAGUACUGUAGAGGGGGGUAGAAUUUCAGGUGUAGCGGUGAAAUGCGUAGAGAUCUGAAGGAAUACCGGUGGCGAAGGCGGCCCCCCUGGACAGAUACUGACACUCAGAUCGCGAAAGCGUGGGGAGCAAACAGGAUUAGAUACCCUGGUAG
rnacentral:rRNA from 1 species